ACAAAAUCAUCUAACACAAAGCCUACUUUAAAAUAAAGUAUUGAAUAUCUCAUGUAAUUUAUUGAAUACUGUACUGAAAGUGAAAAACAGAAUGGUUGUAUGAGUACUCAAAGUAUGGUUUCUACUGAAUUCAUAUCACUUUUGCACCAUUGUAAAGUCAAAAAAUUGAAAGUUGAACCAUCAUAAAUUAGGGACCAUCUGUACAUUACCCAUGUCAAUGACAAAUAAGACAAAACUAAUUUCUAUUUGCUGUUGAAAUUAUUUUUAUUCACAAAUCUCUCCAUCUUGACAUUAGUCACCAUUGAAUCUCAAGUGCAGCGUAAACUGAGAAUGCAUCUAUAAUUAUGGGUUGAAUUUUGCAUGAGCUACAGGAGGCAGCCAGGUGGGGAUACCCACUGUCCUGGGGGCAGGAGACACUGGUUUUGAUUUUUGCAGUGAUAUUAAGAUCAAAUAGCUGAGGGAUUUUUUUUUUUUCUUUUUGGAACCCGGGUUGUAGGGGAGAGAAAGUGUAGGGUGGGAAAGAGAUAAGAAGAUGGGAGAAAGUGGAUGGGGAGCUGAUGAUAACUUACAUUUGUGAAAUGGAAUUGGAGUUUGAUAAAUAAAAAAUACUGAUUUUAUUCAACCAAAGACAUUAUACUUUUUCUGC
rnacentral:lncRNA from 1 species